UUGGGUAAACUUCAAAACCUUCUCUGUGGUUUCACACUUUAUCACUUUAGUAUCCUGUGUCGUAAAGUGUAUCAACUUAGCCCAUGUGGUUUCACACUUUCUCACUUUAAUAUCCUAUGAUUUAAAAUAUAUCAAGUUAGUACCCCGUGGUUUCAUUUUUCUCUUUUUAUUAUUCAUUUCACUAAUUUUUUUCGUUAAAUCGGUGACAAAGUAAAAAUUAAAGGAUACUAAAGUGAAUAUUCGAUAAGCCUAGGUAGGGUGUCUGAAGUUUUUUGUAUAUAAUUUAACGAAAUAUUAAUGGAGGAAAAAAAAAUCAGUGACAACGUUAAGACCAAAGGGUACUAAAGUAAACAUUUGAUAAAUCUAGAUAAUGUAUUUGAAGUUUUUUGUAUACAAUUUAACAAAAUAUUAACAAAGAAGCCGACCAAAAAAAAAAAAUGAAACCACAGGGUACUAAAUUGAUACACUUUAAACCACAUGGUACUAAAGUAAGAAAGUGCGAAACCACAUAAUACUAAAUUGAUAUACUUUAUACCACAUGAUACCAAAGUAAAAAAGUGCGAAAUCACAGGAGUGGUAUUUAAAGUUUUUCCUUAUUUCUUUGUACGUAACUAACCAUCUGUUUUUAGCAUAAUUUUCCAACCACUUAAACUCUUAAUUACAUAAAUUAUUAC
rnacentral:lncRNA from 1 species